rnacentral:rRNA from 1 species
UACGAAGGGGGCUAGCGUUGCUCGGAAUCACUGGGCGUAAAGGGUGCGUAGGCGGGUCUUUAAGUCAGGGGGGAAAUCCUGGAGCUCAAUUCCAGAACUGCCUUUGAUACUGAGGAUCUUGAGUUCGGGAGAGGUGAGUGGAACUGCGAGUGUAGAGGUGAAAUUCGUAGAUAUUCGCAAGAACACCAGUGGCGAAGGCGGCUCACUGGACCGGUUCUGACGCUGAAGCGCGAAAGCGUGGGGAGCAAACGGG